AAGAGUUUGAUCAUGGCUCAGAUUGAACGCUGGCGGCAGGCCUAACACAUGCAAGUCGAGCGGCAGCACAAGUGA
rnacentral:rRNA from 1 species